rnacentral:rRNA from 1 species
AGUUCGAUUAUGGCUCAGAUUGAACGCUGGCGGGAUGCUUUACACAUGCAGUCGAACGGCAGCACGGACUUCGGUCUGGUGGCGAGUGGCGAACGGGUGAGUAAUGUAUCGGAACGUGCCUAGUAGCGGGGGAUAACUACUGCAGAAAGCGUAGCUAAUACCGCAUACGCCCUUCGGGGAAAGCGGGGGACCUUCGGGCCUCGCACUAUUAGAAACGGCCGAUAUCGGAUUAGCUAGUUGGUGGGGUAACGGCUCGCAAGGCGACGAUCCGUAGCUGGUUUGAGGAGGACGACCAGCCACACUGGGACUGGACACGGCCCAGACCUACGGGAGGCAGCAGUGGGGAAUUUUGGACAAUGGAAACCUGAUCCAGCCAUCCCGCGUGUGCGAUGAAGGCCUUCGGGUUGUAAAGCACUGGCAGGAAAGAAACGGCACGGGAUGUCACCGUGCAACUGACGGUACCUGCAAGUAAGCACCGGCUAACUACGUGCCAGCAGCCGCGGUAAUACGUAGGGUGCAAGCGUUAAUCGGAAUUACUGGGCGUAAAGCGUGCGCGGAGUUCGGAAGAAAAGAUGUGAAAUCCCAGAACGCUUUUUGGAACUGCAUUUUUAACUACCGAGCUAGAGUGUGUCAGAGGGAGGUGGAAUUCCGCGUGUAGCAGUGAAAUGCGUAGAUAUGCGGAGGAACACCGAUGGCGAAGGCAGCCUCCUGGGAUAACACUGACGCUCAUGCACGAAAGCGUGGGGGCAAACAGGAUUAGAUACCUGGUAGUCCACGCUAAACGAUGUCAGCUGUUGGAACCUUCGGGCCUUGGUAGCGCAAACCGCGUGAAGUUGACCGCCUGGGAAUACGGUCAAGAUUAAAACUCAAAGGAAUUGACGGGGACCCGCACAAGCGGUGGAUGAUGUGGAUUAAUUCGAUGCAACGCGAAAAACCUUACCUACCCUUGACAUGUCUGGAAUCCCGAAGAGAUUUGGGAGUGCUCGCAAGAGAACCAGACACAGGUGCUGCAUGGCUGUCGUCAGCUCGUGUCGUGAGAUGUUGGGUUAAGUCCCGCAACGAGCGCAACCCUUGUCAUUAGUUGCUACGAAAGGGCACUCUAAUGAGACUGCCGGUGACAAACCCGGAGGAAGGUGGGGAUGACGUCAAGUCCUCAUGGCCCUUAUGGGUAGAACUACACGUCAUACAAUGGUCAGGACAGAGGGUCGCCAACCCGCGAGGGGAGCCAAUCCCAGAAACCCGAUCGUAGUCCGGAUCGCAGUCUGCAACUCGACUGCGUGAAGUCGGAGAUCGCUAGUAAUCGCGGAUCAGCAUGUCGCGGUGAAUACGUUCCCGGGUCUUGUACACACCGCCCGUCACACACCAUGGGAGUGGGUUUUACCAGAAGUAGUUAGCCUAACCGUAAGGAGGGCGAUUACCACGGUAAGUUCAUGACUGGGGUAAGAGUCGUAACAAGGUAA